rnacentral:rRNA from 1 species
AGAGGUCUCGAGCGUUAGUCGGAGUCACUGGGCUUAAAGCGUACGUAGGCGGAUCUGCAGGCGUCGUGUGAAAUCCCUCAGCUCAACUGAGGAACUGCACGGCGAACCGCAGGUCUUGAGACAAGUAGGGGCGGUCGGAACGAUAGGUGGAGUGGUGAAAUGCGUUGAUAUCUAUCGGAAUGCCGAAGGAGAAAUCAGGCCGCUGGGCUUGUUCUGACGCUGAGGUACGAAAGCGUGGGUAGCGAACGGGAUUAGAUACCCCGGUAGUCCACGCCGUAAACGAUGUGCCAUUAGAUCGCGGAGGUUUUGACACCGCUCGCGGUCGAAGUAAAAACGUUGAGUGCACCGCCUGGGGAGUACGGUCGCAAGGCUA